rnacentral:lncRNA from 1 species
UAUGGACAUUACUUGACCCACCUGGAGGCCAAGAAAUUAAAAGGUGUGGUUAGAUCCUUUGACUACUAUGUAACAGAACUCUCUGAUUGGCAGAAGAAAUAGUCAAAACUGCAAGACCUGUGCUAUGACUAAUACAGGAUACUUCGUGUAUACUCCUGAGAAGAGGCUCAAGGGCAACUGGUUGGAGGCCUACUGGGAGGUUGCACCUGGCCAGCUUGUCUACCCACUCUAGAUGAUCCUAGAAAUCAUGGCAAAGUCUCUCUGAUGUGUGACAGCAGAGAAUCCCAUGAUGGCAGCAUAUUGAAACUCAGAAAGACACUGGGGUGAGAGGAAGGAGCCUUGGCCAGGUGAGUGGAGCCCACCUUGGUCAGCACAGCAAAAGGAUUGUAAACCCCCACCCAGCCUGAAGCAGGCUGAGCCAGACCUUGACCUUGCUGCCACUAAGGAGAUUA